UUGCCUACUGAUCUCGAUCUCUUGCCAGUU
rnacentral:piRNA from 1 species